rnacentral:rRNA from 1 species
GGGUCAGUAGGUUGGUCGUGCCACCGGUACGUACUGGUCUCACUGAUUCCUCCUUCCUGAAGAACCGUAAUGCCAUUAAUUUGGUGUUGCGGGGAAACAGGACUGUUACUUUGAAAAAAUUAGAGUGUUUAGAGCAAGCUAACGCUUGAACACAUUAGCAUGGAAUAAUGAAAUAGGACGAUCGAUCCUAUUUUGUUGGUUUCUAGGAUUGACGUA